rnacentral:rRNA from 1 species
GCAAUGCCGCGUGGUGUGAAGAAGGCCUGAGGGUUGUAAAGCACUUUCGGUGGGGAGAACGAGGCUGUUGCUAAUAUCAACGGCGGAAGAUGUUACCCACAGAAGAAGCACCGGCUAACUCUGUGCC